AAGAUACUCCCUCCGUCCGGAAAUACUUGUCAUCAAAAUGAAUAAAAGGGGAUGUAUCUAGAUGUAUUUUAGUUCUAGAUACAUCCCUUUUUGUCCAUUUUGAUGACAAGUAUUUUCGAACGGAGGGAGUACAAG
rnacentral:pre_miRNA from 1 species